UACGUAGGGUCCGAGCGUUGUCCGGAAUUAUUGGGCGUAAAGAGCUCGUAGGCGGUUUGUCGCGUCUGCCGUGAAAGUCCGGGGCUCAACUCCGGAUCUGCGGUGGGUACGGGCAGACUAGAGUGAUGUAGGGGAGACUGGAAUUCCUGGUGUAGCGGUGAAAUGCGCAGAUAUCAGGAGGAGCACCGAUGGCGAAGGCAGGUCUCUGGGCAUUAACUGACGCUGAGGAGCGAAAGCAUGGGGAGCGAACAGG
rnacentral:rRNA from 1 species